AGUGAACGCUGGCGGUAGGCCUAACACAUGCAAGUCGAACGGCAGCACAGGAGAGCUUGCUCUCUAGGUGGCGAGUGGCGGACGGGUGAGGAAUACAUCGGAAUCUGCCCAGUCGUGGGGGAUAACGUAGGGAAACUUACGCUAAUACCGCAUACGACCUUCGGGUGAAAGAGGGGGAUCGCAAGACCUCUCGCGAUUAGAUGAGCCGAUAUCGGAUUAGCUAGUUAGCGGGGUAAUGGCCCACCAAGGCGACGAUCCGUAGCUGGUCUGAGAGGAUGAUCAGCCACACUGGAACUGAGACACGGUCCAGACUCCUACGGGAGGCAGCAGUGGGGAAUAUUGGACAAUGGGCGCAAGCCUGAUCCAGCCAUACCGCGUGGGUGAAGAAGGCCUUCGGGUUGUAAAGCCCUUUUGUUGGGAAAGAAAUCUUUCAGGCUAAUACCCUGGGAGGAUGACGGUACCCAAAGAAUAAGCACCGGCUAACUUCGUG
rnacentral:rRNA from 1 species